GGAAUCUUGCGCAAUGAGCGAAAGCUUGACGCAGCGACGCCGCGUGGGGGAUGAAGGCUUUCGGGUUGUAAACCCCUUUUGGGAGGAAAGAAAACCGGAGAACGAAUAAUUCUCCGGUUUGACGGUACCUCCAGAAAAAGCCACGGCUAACUCUGUGCCAGCAGCCGCGGUAAGACAGAGGUGGCAAGCGUUGUUCGGAAUUACUGGGCGUAAAGCGCACGUAGGCGGUUCGGUAAGGCCUUUGUGAAAUCCUACCGCUCAACGGUGGAAUGGCAUGGGCGACUGCCGGACUAGAGGUUGGGAGAGGAGAGUGGAAUUCCCGGUGUAGCGGUGAAAUGCGUAGAUAUCGGGAGGAAGGCCGGUGGCGAAGGCGACUCUCUGGAACAAUUCUGACGCUGAGGUGCGAAAGCGUGGGUAGCA
rnacentral:rRNA from 1 species